AUUGAACGCUGGCGGCAGGCCUAACACAUGCAAGUCGAACGAGUGGCGGACGGGUGAGUAAUGUCUGGGAAACUGCCCGAUGGAGGGGGAUAACUACAGGAAACGGUAGCUCAUACCGCAUCCCAUCGGAGGUGCCCCGAUGGGAUUAGCUAGUAGGUGGGGUAACGGCUCACCCAGGCGACGAUCCCUAGCUGGUCUGAGAGGAUGACCAGCCACACUGGAACUGAGACACGGUCCAGACUCCUACGGGAGGCAGCAGUGGGGAAUAUUGCACAAUGGGCGCAAGCCUGAUGCAGCCAUGCCGCGUGUAUGAAGAAGGCCUUCGGGUUGUAAAGUACUUUCAGCGGGGAGGCGUUACUCGCAGAAGAAGCACCGGCUAACUCCGUGCCAGCAGCCGCGGUAAUUC
rnacentral:rRNA from 1 species